UCAUGGCUCAGGUGAAGUCGUAACAAGGUAACCGAUCCAGAGUUUGAUUAUGUCUCAGGUGAUGUCGUGACUGUGAAACUGGGAUAACUCCGGGAAACCGGGGCUAAUACCGGAUGGUUGUUUGAACCGCAUGGUUCAAACAUAAAAGGUGGCUUCGGCUACCACUUACAGAUGGACCCGCGGCGCAUUAGCUAGUUGGUGAGGUAACGGCUCACCAAGGCGACGAUGCGUAGCCGACCUGAGAGGGUGAUCGGCCACACUGGGACUGAGACACGGCCCAGACUCCUACGGGAGGCAGCAGUAGGGAAUCUUCCGCAAUGGACGAAAGUCUGACGGAGCAACGCCGCGUGAGUGAUGAAGGUUUUCGGAUCGUAAAGCUCUGUUGUUAGGGAAGAACAAGUACCGUUCGAAUAGGGCGGUACCUUGACGGUACCUAACCAGAAAGCCACGGCUAACUACGUGCCAGCAGCCGCGGUAAUACGUAGGUGGCAAGCGUUGUCCGGAAUUAUUGGGCGUAAAGGGCUCGCAGGCGGUUUCUUAAGUCUGAUGUGAAAGCCCCCGGCUCAACCGGGGAGGGUCAUUGGAAACUGGGGAACUUGAGUGCAGAAGAGGAGAGUGGAAUUCCACGUGUAGCGGUGAAAUGCGUAGAGAUGUGGAGGAACACCAGUGGCGAAGGCGACUCUCUGGUCUGUAACUGACGCUGAGGAGCGAAAGCGUGGGGAGCGAACAGGAUUAGAUACCCUGGUAGUCCACGCCGUAAACGAUGAGUGCUAAGUGUUAGGGGGUUUCCGCCCCUUAGUGCUGCAGCUAACGCAUUAAGCACUCCGCCUGGGGAGUACGGUCGCAAGACUGAAACUCAAGGAAUUGACGGGGGCCCGCACAAGCGGUGGAGCAUGUGGUUUAAUUCGAAGCAACGCGAAGACCUUACCAGGUCUUGACAUCCUCUGACAUCCUAGAGAUAGGACGUCCCCUUCGGGGCA
rnacentral:rRNA from 1 species